ACUAUUUUGGCAGAUUAGUGCAAUAAAUUUAGAAUUUAUUUAUAUGGUUUACCCCAUAAAUAGUA
rnacentral:tRNA from 1 species